rnacentral:lncRNA from 1 species
CAGAGUUCUCCCAGUGCCUCUUGGGCUUCGUUUUCUCACAAUGAUGCCUGGUUACUUUUCUCCCCAAGCAGCAGAAGGCUUUAUCCCAUGUCCAUAUGUUAAUUUAACACAGCUUAGCUCACUGCAUCUGGGGCUUCUCUGUUUCUCCUUUCUCCAAGAUUGUUCUCCCUCCAUGAAAGAAGCAGACAUUGCUACUUUACCAUCUUGGUCAAAGGCUGAGCAGAACUCGAAGCCUAGCCAUUUCCACGCUGCCCUUUCUUAGAUGCGUCCCAAGCUCCCACUUCUGCCGGUCUCGCCUCUGCACGGACUACUUGCCGCGAUACUGAUGUUGCUCCAUUCCAUUUUUAAUCUCUUUAAUCUGCGUCCAACACUCCCCUGAGAAAUGACUGUAGCACAUCACGGUAGACCUCAGAUUUGUGAUAGGAUGAAGAAUCUUGAAACGGAAACUUUUCUGUGUGAUUCUGGUAGACCCCAGUGUAACCACAAAAGCGUUUAUAGAGGAACUUGAAAAGAGCCAAUGAGUGAGAAUGUCCAAUGAGGAUAGAAGAAAGAAAGAACAGUUGAUGACAUGUGGAACUAAAGCCAAGGGUGCACGUGAAAGUCGG